rnacentral:rRNA from 1 species
UGGGGAAUCUUGCACAAUGGAGGAAACUCUGAUGCAGCGAUGCCGCGUGAGUGAAGAAGGCCUUUGGGUUGUAAAGCUCUUUCGUCGGGGAAGAAAAUGACUGUACCCGAAUAAGAAGGUCCGGCUAACUUCGUG